rnacentral:tRNA from 1 species
GGGGCUAUAGCUCAGUGGCAGAGUCCUUGCCUCGCAUGCAUGAGGCAUUGGGUUUAAUCCUUAGCACCA